CCCUUAGAUGUUCUGGGCCGCACGCGCGCUACACUGAUGCAUUCAACGAGUCUAAAACCUGGUCUGAUAGGGCUGGGUAAUCUUUUGAAAGUGCAUCGUGAUUGGGAUAGAUGAUUGCAAUUCUUCAUCUUCAACGAGGAAUGCCUAGUAAACGCAAGUCAUCAGCUUGCAUUGAUUACGUCCCUGCCCUUUGUACACACCGCCCGUCGCUCCUACCGAUUGAAUGAUCCGAUGAAUACCAUGGAUUGAGAGUACGAAUGGGUUCGCUUAUUUCUGCUGCUCGAGAAGUGGAGUAAAUCUUAUCAUUUAGAGGAAGGAGAAGUCGUAACA
rnacentral:rRNA from 1 species